rnacentral:rRNA from 1 species
GCCGCGGUAAUACGUAGGGUGCGAGCGUUAAUCGGAAUUACUGGGCGUAAAGCGUGCGCAGGCGGUUUUGUAAGACAGGCGUGAAAUCCCCGGGCUCAACCUGGGAACUGCGCUUGUGACUGCAUCACUUGAGUACGGCAGAGGGGGGUGGAAUUCCACGUGUAGCAGUGAAAUGCGUAGAGAUGUGGAGGAACACCGAUGGCGAAGGCAGCCCCCUGGGUCGAUACUGACGCUCAUGCACGAAAGCGUGGGUAGCAAACAGGAUUAGAUACCCUGGUAGUCCACGCCCUAAACGAUGUCAACUAGGUGUUGGGUGGGUAAAACCAUUUAGUACCGUAGCUAACGCGUGAAGUUGACCGCCUGGGGAGUACGGCCGCAAGGUUAAAACUCAAAGGAAUUGACGGGGACCCGCACAAGCGGUGG